rnacentral:ribozyme from 12 species
AAACUAUUUCGACAAUGAGUGAAAGCAAGAGAUAACGCAGCAAUGUGAAAGGAUGGGAGACGGAGAACCCAGGAUGUAAAGCAGUCGAGUUUUCGGCAUUUUCAAUUUUUGAUUCUUUAUUCGGUGAAGCCUUGGCGUGCUUUGUUUUUGGUCGUUUUUCAACUGAGUUUUUGUUCCAAAUAGUGUGACUU